rnacentral:lncRNA from 1 species
AAUUUCUGAUUAGUUGAAAAUAUUAUUUUUAAUAUUAUUUUUGAAUUUAAAUUUAAAAUUUUGAAUUUUUUUUUAGAGACUAAAGCUAAAAAUGUGCAAAGUUUAGGAACCGAAAUAAAAAUAUUAUAAAGGAGAGCCAAAUAGACGCUGAUCUAGCAAUCCUGUUAAUUUUAAUAUUUUUUUUAACGAUUGUGAUGUAAUUAUAAUAAAAUUAAAAAAUUAGAAACUCAGUUGUAAAAGAAUAAUUAGAUUUUUAAAUAAAAAAUAGUA